rnacentral:lncRNA from 1 species
ACAUCUUUUUUUCUUUCUUUUUUUUUUUUUUAUACAAAACUAAAUGCAGCUGUUUCCAUACAGUUAUGGGGGUAAUUACUCUUCCUCGUGUUCAAGUUCUGCCUAGACUAUUAGUACGCACUCUAGUGUUGUUUUGUUGCAUAGAAAUGCCUUUGCCUAUUAUCCAAGGUUAUUUUCUUUCAGUUUUAAAGACACCCAUUAGCUCCAUCCUACCUCAUUUGGAGUCACUUGCCUUUCUUAUGCUCUCUCAAUUUCCUUCUUUCUUUUUAGGGAAUUAAUGUAACAAACUAUACCAAUUCUGAACUUCCAUAGAGUUUGGUUCAAGCUGCUCACACUAUUUUUAGCGAUAUUAUCUUUAGCAAUUUACUUAACCACUUCCAAUUGCUUUUAUCCUGAACAAAAUGAGGACAAGAGAGGUACAGCCUCACCAGGUUAGGAGAGGGCUCCUGAGGAGCAGGCAGAGCCUGUGGCUGAAGAUACUCCACCAAGGCAGGAAUCAGCAAAUGAGUUCAACACCUUUCUGAAGGUAGACUGAUAUAGGUUGAGGCUUCCGAGGCCAAGUGAAGGAGUCAUAUUUGUAAUCAUAUACCUUCUGGUAUACUGUAUACUUUAUAGGAUAUAAAUAAUAUAAGAUAAACAUUAUUGUAUAACAUUGCUGCCACAAGAUGUCAACCAGAUGCCUGCACAAUUUAGUAAUUUGUGCAGUGUUCUGAGACCUAAUUUGGUUUGUUACAAUGUGAAUACUACUGAAAACAUUGAAGCAGUCGCUAUCCCCCUGUGCAAUCAUGUAAACAUUUACUAGCCUUAAAUUUGAUGCUCUCAGUCAAUGAGAAGUAUUUUAAGUUAAUUUCCUGUGAACAUGACAAAAUACUUUUAGAAAAAAAUCUUACGGGAGAUGGAGAGUAUGCUUCGCUCACUGUUUGAGAGUACAUAGUCCAUCCUGACAAGGAAGGAAUCAUGACUGAGAAGAGUUUUCUUGGGGUUCACGGACAGAAGCUAUGGUUCAGAGUAGACAUGGCUGUAUCAAGCUGACAGCUAAGUUUGUUUACAUGUAAGUCUCCCAAUGGUGAGAGUUUUAAAGACAUAAAGGGGUCACACAGACGAGCUGAGGCUUGGCACAACAUGUCAGGAAAGUUCCUGAAGAGAUGCCAUUGCUGAAAGUAAAGCCUCACUUAAGUAAACAAUCUGUUGCACUGUUGGUUUGGAGUAUUUUACACUGAUGUUUGCUUUUGGUCUUUAUGUACAAAAUAUUGGCUAGGAAACGCUGUAUCCCACAUCAAAAACAAUUUAGAACCAAGGGUGCAGCAUGCCUACUGGUACAUAAGUAAAACUUGAUCAUCGUGUUAAAUUUUUCUUCUCUAUUUCCCUACAAAACCACUAACCACUAUCCCACUCCCAGCAUUCGCAGAUUUCAACAUGGCUUCUAAAAUUAUUUUGUAUUAUAUCUUCAUUCUUUUGGAAGUUGAAAAUGUUCUGUUGUGGCUUCUGAUAAAUCACUGGUCAUUUGAUGUUCCAGGGACAUAUCAGAUUGCUACCUUGCUUCAUAAUCUAGAACGUUUUGUUCUUCUAAUGCAUGCUCAAUAAUGCAUGUAAGUUGCACAUAUACUGUCAUUGCUCUUAUUAAAGGUCACCUGUGUUAUAGCUGUGGUAAAGAAAAUGGGGCUGGAGGAGAGAGUAAAUGACAUGCCUGGAACCUCAGCUUCCCCUUUGUGCUCUCCUGGCCUCAGCAGCUGUCUUGCCGGGAUAGCAUACAUAUAUUGUCUUCUAGACUCUAGUUGAUUAAGUAAGUCAACAGAGGAAAGCAGCUGUCAGGGGAGGAAGAAGAAGAAAUGAAGCCAUGGUAAUAUCCGUUUCCCUCCUUGGUGGCAUAACAGGAGUCCAAACCACCCCUGGCAAUGUUGAGGCUUUUUCUUCACUUUUCUUUCUUCCGUAUUACUUGAAGCCUAAGGGCGUAUGUUAAUUUCCUUUUUUUAAUACAGGAAAGAUAGAUAGGCUCUGGAAUACUAAUAUUUUACUUACGAGUUAGUUAUACUAAUUCCUUGGGACAAAAGAGGGGGCGAAAUCAGUUGGCUUGCAGACAGCUCUGCUAGGUUCCUCUCAACAGCAACCUACAAAGACCCUGCAUCACCACCUGCCGCCAUUGACUGUUGGGCAGCAGCCAGGUACAGCAGUGGUAGCUAUAAAGGGUACCUCUCAGUACCCCAGCCCCUCCUACCCCCUUCUUACAAACUCUCUGUCCCAUAUGAUCCCGGCUGGCCAUUCUUUCUUUCUGUCCUUCUCUGCCCCCUCCCCCUUUAUCUGCCUCUAAUCCUUUUCCAGGUCACCAAUUCCUUCCCUUCCCACACAAUAAACUUCCUGUUAAGGUAAAAUCGGGUCUGUCUCAUGGUGUGAUUUCUCAAAGGGAAACCUUGGCAUGGGUAUCCCACAUAACCAUCCCCCAAUACCACAGAGGUAUAUUUUAUAACAGACGGCAUAUAACCGUGUUUGUUAAACCUAAGGAAGCUAGAGCUACAGUCUCCUGGGGAACUGAGUCUGUCCGUGAUUAAUGCGAAAACUUGGUACCCACAAAAUCCCACCACCCAGCUGCUCUCAUCCUGCGGUAAGAAUCCUCCUGCUCUUCUGAGAAGCUCUGAAUGUGAAGACCUUUCUGUGGCUUCAGAAAAACAAAUCCUGGAGUACAGAAUUAAAGGGGCUAGCCGAGUGUGUAGAGCCAUCCAUCACAAGGGAGCUGAAAUCUAUGGAGGCUUAAGAAAACACAGAACCAGACACCACACACAUGCGCAGUGUGUUAUCUGCACUCAACCAGGCCCCUGAAAGACAUUCACUCUGACAGUAGGGUUGACAGUGUGAUCGAAAGUUUCCAAACAGCCAGCAGUCAGUCCCUCUUUCCUCACUCUUGACUGGACUGUACAAUACUGAGCCAUUAUGUAGCAUUCAAACUUGCCUACAAAUGUGUUAUUGGAUGCAGUACCCUAUUUUAUUAAAUGAUGUUUGUUUGCCAGGCUCUGUGCUUCCAUAAUGAGUAAAGGAUACAACGACGCUUAGUACUUAGGAUGCGCCCGCUUCUGGAGUAGGAGAGAGAUAGAAGACAUAACGGUUUUUGCAGAGCCUAUUGUCCAUGAAAGGAAUGUUAGAUGCACAUUUGAAAAUAAACCUCAACCCGCCUCUGCACCAUCAAGGAUAGGGAGGCAUAACGGUUAUAAGCAUUUCAUAUAAUAGAAAAUGAUUUGUCAUUGAAAUCAGUCUUUGGAGGUCUAACUUCAAUUACAAAUGUAUUUAUACAGUUGCAGAGUUAUUAAACAUGGGAAAGAAGCAUACACCACUGUUUGGUAAGGUAUCUAAUCAGAAUGUUUGGAGGAAAUGCUUUCUGCUCAUCACAAUCAGCAUAAAGAUCCCUUUGUUAUAUUACAAAGCACAAGGCAGAUGUACUCUCUGGCAAAAGAAUACGAUUUUAUACCUAAAACAAAUGCAUCCCUUCUCUGACACUUUUCCUUUGUAGCUGUAGAAAG